CUGAGGAAAGGCAGUUGGAGGCUUUAAAAAUCCCCUCAGGCUUUCUUUCUUUUUUCUGAGGGGAUUUUUAAAGACUCCAACUGCCUUCCCCAU